UGGAUAAUUGCUGCUUGUAAAAACGAUUGUUGCAGUGUUUAUUUUUAACGUUUCACACCCAUGCAGUGCAUGUUCUGAAAUUAAAAUACCAAUCCCCGUUUUGAGUCACCGGAUCCAGCCCCCCUUCUGCGCCCCGGGACCUCCCACUUAGCCGGAUAUACAGAAAAUACAGAGAGAACACUGAAAUGGUUUGGAGAUGUUUGCCCAGUGUCCAUGUAAGAUUUAUUGAUGACAACGUUCGGCAGACAGUUCCUUUUCACUACAUUCAGAACUUUACACCUCAACACCUGAAGGAUGGAGGAAUGUCCUGUAAUGACUCUAUUAAGUAGCUGUGACAUGAGCAAGACAUCUCAAGACAACACAGUUCAUCAAAAUGUUGAUAUGGACCGUAAAUAACCUUAUAACAGGGCUUCUAAUUCUAUAUAAAAUAGAAGAUAAUUUAAGGGUCACAGUCACACUUCAGUCACAAAUUUAGCAUGUGGCCAUUUGGGGCACUGAGAAGCUCAAAUAGCGAAGUGUAACAGGUGAAAUCGAACGCCAUAAAAGGUUCAGUGCCCAAGCCUCCUCUAACCCAAGAGAAAAUGAGUGUCAUCAAAGAGCGCCUGAGAGACCGGCUCAAGCAACGUGGGUAUCAAAAGGAGGCCAGCUGGGCCUAGUUCGUAGAAGCAUUUAGGAAAAAAUGAGAGACAUAAGAAAAAGGGCCCAUCUGACUGCAACCUGGACAUCGUACAUUGCACUGCCCUCCACUGGACAGCAGAUGGCACUCAAUUGCAUUCAAUACAGCAAAUGAGGUAAAAGGUAGUUCAAAACACAAAACAGUUCUCACACACCAAGCAUACAGCAUUAGGAAAGGGAAUUUGAAAUCUGGAUAAUAUGCUCUUCAAAUAAUUCCAGUAAAAAUACAGUAUCAAAAUGGCUUCAGUGUUUGAUAAACAAUUUUAAUAAUAAAGCUUAAAUGUUGAAAAUGUAAUUUACAGUAUAGACAUUGACAUGUAUUUCUUACAUCGGAUGUAUCAAAUAGUUAUAAUCAUACUGUACAAAAAACUGUUUGCCACAAAAAUGUGUUCACCUGUAACACCCUUUACAAGGAACAUUAGAUUACAGUUACACAAAGACAACAGUACAGGUGUAACAAGCAAUUACAGACACAUGGAAACACACCUUUCAAAUAGCACAGGAAGGUCAACUAGUGCAUAAGGAAUAGGAUGGAAUCAUUGUUGGAUUUCAGCAAUACCAAAUUCUCAAUAGGCAUAGCAGAAAACAUGUUUUUUCACCUUGGCAUUUGAGAGCAGUCUGUGUGCUUAACCAAAAGUUCAGUGUGAAUAAUGUUGUAAAAAUAACAAUAGUAACGUAACUAUUCAACAUCUAUGUGAUAUUCUGUAUGACAAAGAUGAUAUGCAGAUCACUUGGAUGAAUACAUUUUCAAAGUGUUAUAGGCAGAAGAAAAACAACAAUCAUUUAAAAACGGCUGUGUGUGCACAAACUCCAGGAUUCAAGUUUUUGGCUGGCUCAAUAAACACAAAGUGAGAAACUGACUUCUAAACUUUGUUUUAGAAGCCAUUGUUUCACAUCUCUUGAAUGUCUUCAUUGGACUCAAUUAUUUGCUUGGAGUGUCUAUUGCUCAAUAUCCCAAUGUAGCUAGCAUUCCUCUGUAUCCAAUGACAUUGUGUUGCAGAGGGCCACUGUUCCACAUAGCCAAAGGGAGGACACUGUCUGCCCUAUUCAUUUUGUAUCUAGUCAACAGGUAUCCUUAAGGGAAUCCAUUUGUCAGCUGUGUCUGUCCCCAGA